rnacentral:rRNA from 1 species
AACGAACGCUGGCGGCAGGCCUAACACAUGCAAGUCGAACGCCGUAGCAAUACGGAGUGGCAGACGGGUGAGUAACACGUGGGAACGUACCUUUCGGUUCGGAAUAACUCAGGGAAACUUGAGCUAAUACCGGAUACGUGCGAGAGCAGAAAGAUUUAUCGCCGAAAGAUCGGCCCGCGUCCGAUUAGCUAGUUGGUGAGGUAACGGCUCACCAAGGCGACGAUCGGUAGCUGGUCUGAGAGGAUGAUCAGCCACACUGGGACUGAGACACGGCCCAGACUCCUACGGGAGGCAGCAGUGGGGAAUAUUGGACAAUGGGCGCAAGCCUGAUCCAGCCAUGCCGCGUGAGUGAUGACGGCCUUAGGGUUGUAAAACUCUUUCGCCAGGGACGAUAAUGACGGUACCUGGAUAAGAAGCCCGGCUAACUUCGUGCCAGCAGCCGCGGUAAUGUGUGACU